AUUGAACGCUGGCGGCAUGCUUUACACAUGCAAGUCGAACGGGGUGAGGAGCUUGCUCCUCAUCUAGUGGCGAACGGGUGAGUAAUACAUCGGAACGUACCGUGUAGUGGGGGAUAACGUAGCGAAAGUUACGCUAAUACCGCAUACGAUCCACGGAUGAAAGCAGGGGACCUUCGGGCCUUGUGCUAUACGAGCGGCCGAUGUCUGAUUAGCUAGUUGGUGGGGUAAAGGCCCACCAAGGCAACGAUCAGUAGCGGGUCUGAGAGGAUGAUCCGCCACACUGGGACUGAGACACGGCCCAGACUCCUACGGGAGGCAGCAGUGGGGAAUUUUGGACAAUGGGCGCAAGCCUGAUCCAGCCAUGCCGCGUGUCUGAAGAAGGCCUGGUUGUAA
rnacentral:rRNA from 1 species